rnacentral:sRNA from 1 species
GAAGCUGAGCAAUAUUUCUCGACACUUUAUAAAACCCAGGUAAAGGAACUUAAAGAAGAAAUUGAAGAAAAAAACAGAGAAAAUUUAAAGAAAAUACAGGAACUACAAAAUGAAAAAGAAACUCUUGCUACUCAGUUGGAUCUAGCAGAAACAAAAGCUGAGUCUGAGCAGUUGGCGCGAGGCCUUCUGGAAGAACAGUAUUUUGAAUUGACGCAAGAAAGCAAGAAAGCUGCUUCAAGAAAUAGACAAGAGAUUACAGAUAAAGAUCACACUGUUAGUCGGGUAAGUGUGAUAGUCAGGUAAGUUAUAUAAAAUUUAUUUAAAUCACAAUAGGUCACAUCUUGAAGUAUUAGGGUAAGUGUGUGUGCAAGUGUAUUUACUUCUGUGUUAAUAUAUAGUGGUCAUUCUGUACUCAUGUAUAAAAUAGUUUGUAUAAUACCAAACAUUUGUUAAUUAUUGAAAUUCUUGUUCAAGAUAUUGGGCUUUUGUUUGUAUAGGCACAGAACCAAUGCAAUAUUGGGCUGUUUUUCUGGCUGUAGAUCUUAUUAGUUAUAUUUCAUAUGAAGUAAUGGCUUAGCUUAAAUUCAUUUGUUGUUCUCUUAAUACAUUGCAACUGAUUUUAUGGGCCAGAAUUCUGUGAAAUAUAGAGAAACAUUUGGGAAUGAAGAAUU